rnacentral:rRNA from 1 species
CCUACGGGGGGCUGCAGCUAAGAAUAUUCCGCAAUGGACGAAAGUCUGACGGAGCGACGCCGCGUGGAUGAUGAAGGCCGAAAGGUUGUAAAGUCCUUUUGCUGGGGAAGAAUAAGCGAGGGAGGGAAUGCCCGCGUGAUGACAUGAACCGGCGAAUAAGCCCCGGCUAACUACGUGCCAGCAGCCGCGGUAACACGUAGGGGGCAAGCGUUGUUCGGAGUUACUGGGCGUGGCGGGCUAGUAGGGGGGUGAAAGUCCACGGCUUAACCGUGGGAUUGCGUUGAGAACUGCGAGGCUUGAGUGACGGAGAGGGAGCUAGAAUUCCUGGUGUAGGGGUGGAAUCUGUAGAGAUCAGGAAGAAUACCAAUGGCGAAGGCAAGCUCCUGGCCGAUGACUGACGCUGAGGUGCGAAAGUGUGGGGAUCAAACAGGAUUAGAUACCCCGGUAGUC